CUUUCUUUUCCUCCAUCUUCCCUCCAAACACUGACGCGACGCAACGCAACGCAACGAACCAACUCCCAUCUCCAUCGAUCAUUGAUGCUCUUCCUUCCCUUUCUCUAUCUCCAAUUCGUACCUUAUGUAACUCUAUAACAUUUUAAAUUUCUUUUUGGGCUUCAAAGCCAAACAAAAGUUUUAAACGGAAAGGGGGGGGGGGGAAGACGAAGGCUAGCGAUGAUAACGCGAUCAAAUUUAGCAGAGCAGUUGAGGGAGUAUCAUAUUCGAUCUGACCACGAUUGGGCCUCCGUUUCGUUAUUCUCAUCAACGUCUAACCUUACAUCUCCAGCUCUCUUUAAGUUAGCGAGGACAAAGCCGAACCGAGUGACUGACCUCAAAAGCUGGAAAAAGUAAACGGGAGGGAUUCAAUUGAAAGCUGUUAUGCCAUCAGCUAAACAGGCUGGUAUCAACCAUUUAUGAUUUCCAUUCCCCAGGCAUUGAGGUUAUUUAACCAUCAACUGCUAAAACAAUGGCAGAAACACUUGAUGCCUCUGUCUCAAGGGACAAUUAAUGUAACACCAAUAAUCUGCAGAGCAGCGCGGAUCCCAAGUUCAUUUCCAUCAAGAAACGCAGGAAGACGUGGCAAAAAUCACCCUGACCAACUUUAUUUACCUGUCAUAUACCUUUUCAUAUUUAUUUACUGAUCUAACACCGUUUGCAUGAAGGCACGACCCAUGUACCGUGUUUUACGUUGAUUUGGUUUCACGUGGGAUAAGACGUGGCCCAUGCACCGCGCCUUAUAAAACGUGUAAAAAAUCGGGUGUUAGUUUUGUAAAUACUUUUAAA